UACGUAGGUGGCAAGCGUUGUCCGGAUUUACUGGGCGUAAAGAGCGUGUAGGCGGCCAAGCAGGUCCGUUGUGAAAACUGGAGGCUUAACCUCCAGACGUCGACGGAAACCGCGUGGCUAGAGUCCGGAAGAGGAGAGUGGAAUUCCUGGUGUAGCGGUGAAAUGCGCAGAUAUCAGGAAGAACACCAAUGGCGAAGGCAGCUCUCUGGGACGGUACUGACGCUGAGACGUGAAAGCGUGGGAAGCAAACAGG
rnacentral:rRNA from 1 species